rnacentral:rRNA from 1 species
UGGGGAAUAUUGGACAAUGGGCGAAAGCCUGAUCCAGCCAUGCCGCGUGUGUGAAGAAGGUCUUCGGAUUGUAAAGCACUUUAAGUUGGGAGGAAGGGCAGUAAGCGAAUACCUUGCUGUUUUGACGUUACCGACAGAAUAAGCACCGGCUAACUCUGUGCCAGCAGCCGCGGUAAUACAGAGGGUGCAAGCGUUAAUCGGAAUUACUGGGCGUAAAGCGCGCGUAGGUGGUUCGUUAAGUGGAAUGUGAAAGCCCCGGGCUCAACCUGGGAACUGCAUCCAAAACUGGCGAGCUAGAGUAGGGCAGAGGGUGGUGGAAUUUCCUGUGUAGCGGUGAAAUGCGUAGAUAUAGGAAGGAACACCAGUGGCGAAGGCGACCACCUGGGCUCAUACUGACACUGAGGUGCGAAAGCGUGGGGAGCAAACAGG